UGCAGUCGNNCGGCAGCACAGCUUAAGCUUGCUUAAGUGGGUGGCGAGUGGCGGACGGGUGAGGAAUACAUGGGAAUCUGCCCAGUCGUGGGGGAUAACGUAUGGAAACGUACGCUAAUACCGCAUGCGCCCUUCGGGGGAAAGCCGGGGACCUUCGGGCCUGGCGCGAUUGGAUGAGCCCAUGUCGGAUUAGCUAGUUGGCGGGGUAAAGGCCCACCAAGGCGACGAUCCGUAGCUGGUCUGAGAGGAUGAUCAGCCACACUGGAACUGAGACACGGUCCAGACUCCUACGGGAGGCAGCAGUAGGGAAUAUUGGACAAUGGGCGCAAGCCUGAUCCAGCCAUGCCGCGUGUGUGAAGAAGGCCUUCGGGUUGUAAAGCACUUUUGUCCGGAAAGAAAAGCACUGGGUGAAUACCCUGGUGUCCUGACGGUACCGGAAGAAUAAGCACCGGCUAACUUCGUGCCAGCAGCCGCGGUAAUACGAAGGGUGCAAGCGUUACUCGGAAUUACUGGGCGUAAAGCGUGCGUAGGUGGUUUGUUAAGUCUGAUGUGAAAGCCCUGGGCUCAACCUGGGAAUGGCAUUGGAUACUGGCGAGCUAGAGUGCGGUAGAGGGUAGUGGAAUUCCCGGUGUAGCAGUGAAAUGCGUAGAGAUCGGGAGGAACAUCUGUGGCGAAGGCGACUACCUGGACCAGCACUGACACUGAGGCACGAAAGCGUGGGGAGCAAACAGGAUUAGAUACCCUGNUAGUCCACGCCCUAAACGAUGCGAACUGGGAUGUUGGGCUCAACUUGGAGCUCAGUAUCGAAGCUAACGCGUUAAGUUCGCCGCCUGGGGGANUACGGUCGCAAGACUGAAACUCAAAGNAAUUGACGGGGGCCCGCACAAGCGGNNGGAG
rnacentral:rRNA from 1 species